UCGGGAAUUUUGGGCAAUGGGCGAAAGCCUGACCCAGCAACGCCGCGUGAAGGAUGAAGUAUUUCGGUAUGUAAACUUCGAAAGAAUAGGAAGAAUAAAUGACGGUACUAUUUAUAAGGUCCGGCUAACUACGUGCCAGCAGCCGCGGUAAUACGUAGGGACCAAGCGUUGUUCGGAUUUACUGGGCGUAAAGGGCGCGUAGGCGGCAUGACAAGUCACUUGUGAAAUCUCUGGGCUUAACCCAGAACGGCCAAGUGAUACUGUCGCGCUAGAGUGCAGAAGGGGCAAUCGGAAUUCUUGGUGUAGCGGUGAAAUGCGUAGAUAUGCGGAGGAACACCGAUGGCGAAGGCAAUCCCCUGGACCUGUACUGACGCUCAUGCACGAAAGCGUGGGGAGCAAACAGGAUUAGAUACCCCCGUAGUCCCUGAGCGGGCUGGCAAGGCGCAU
rnacentral:rRNA from 1 species